AAAUUCCAUGAUGACACCUAAAAUGCAUUCCCUGGAAAGAUGAACUAAGUGAGAGAGAAAUCCCUACGAUCUCGUUUCACUGAACUGAAAUCU
rnacentral:snoRNA from 1 species